GGGAAGAUGGCUCAGUAGUAGAGUGCUUGCCUUGCAUGCAUGAGGCCCUAGGUUCAAUUCCUCAGUACCCCA
rfam:Dipodomys ordii contig_7319, whole genome shotgun sequence.